UACGGAAAGCAGCAGUGGGGAAUAUUGCACAAUGGGCGCAAGCCUGAUGCAGCCAUGCCGCGUGUAUGAAAAAGGCCUUCGGGUUGUAAAGUACUUUCAGUCGUGAGGAAGGUGUUAAGGUUAAUAACCUUAGCAAUUGACGUUAGCGACAGAAGAAGCACCGGCUAACUCCGUGCCAGCAGCCGCGGUAAUACGGAGGGUGCGAGCGUUAAUCGGAAUUACUGGGCGUAAAGGGCACGCAGGCGGUUAAUUAAGUUGGAUGUGAAAUCCCCGGGCUUAACCUGGGAAUGGCAUUCAAGACUGGUUAGCUAGAGUCUUGUAGAGGGGGUAGAAUUCCAUGUGUAGCGGUGAAAUGCGUAGAGAUGUGGAGGAAUACCGGUGGCGAAGGCGGCCCCUGGGACAAAGGCUGACGCUCAUGUGCGAAAGCGUGGGGAGCGAAAC
rnacentral:rRNA from 1 species